rnacentral:rRNA from 1 species
GGUUGAUCCUGCCAGUAGUCAUAUGCUUGUCUCAAAGAUUAAGCCAUGCAUGUCUAAGUAUAAACAUCUUUAUACAGUGAAACUGCGUACAGCUCAUUAUAUCAGUUAUAAUUUAUUUGAUGGUACCUUACUACAUGGAUAACCGUAGUAAUUCUAGAGCUAAUACAUGCGUAAAGUCCCGACUCGUGAGGGGAGGGAUGUAUUUAUUAGAUAAAAAAUCAAUGCGGGUUUUACCCGGUUUUUUGGUGAGUCAUAGUAACUGUUCGAAUCGCAUGGCUUUAUGCUGGCGAUA